rnacentral:rRNA from 1 species
UACAGGGGGUGCAAACGUUGCUCGGAAUCAUUGGGCGUAAAGCGCACGUAGGCGGUUCGUUAUGUCGGAUGUGAAAGCCCUUGGCUUAACCGAGGAAGUGCAUCCGAAACUGGCGAGCUAGAGUACGAAAGAGGAUCGCGGAAUUCCCGGUGUAGAGGUGAAAUUCGUAGAUAUCGGGAGGAACACCAGUGGCGAAGGCGGCGAUCUGGGCAGAUACUGACGCUGAGGUGCGAAAGCGUGGGGAGCAAACAGG